ensembl:lncRNA SNHG14 small nucleolar RNA host gene 14
GGAUCGAUGAUGAGUCCUCCAAAAAAAACAUUCCUUGGAAAAGCUGAACAAAAUGAGUGAAAACUCAUACCGUCAUUCUCAUCGGAACUGAGGUCCAGCACAUUGCUUCCUCUGGGGCCUUUACUAGUGAGGGACAACUUCCACUAGUCCCUAUAGGUUCUAACACCCAUGGCGUUCACAGGUGAAGGUCUCCUGUCAUAUUACAAACAUUCCCCCCACUCCCCUCCCAAAAAAAGGAACAUUUCCUCUGUGUCAGGUACACAGGUCAGAGAGUCAUAGGGUGACUGGCUGCUCUGUGAUGGCAUAGUGGCCGUGGAAGUGGAUGGAAAUGUCGCAGGCUUAGGGGAGUGUGGGGCUGGCCUCGGCUUGGUGAGCUCCCAGGAAGGGGGACCUGGAAAUCGCUGCGGGCAUCCUUGCAUAGAGGACCAGCAGCAGUUGUCAUGAGAGGUCUGCCGCUUGCUGGCAAGGAAGAUGGUCAAUUCUUCUGACCAACAGAGGCUGCCUUGAGUCCUGAUUUGGUGUGGCCUGGCAUCUAUGGUGCACCCAAUGCUGGGGCAGUUGCCGUGGGAGGCCUGCCGUCUGCUGAAAGGAAGAUGGUUGAUGCUUCUGAGCAAUGAAGGCCCCAUGGAGUCCUGGAUUCGGUGUGGCCUUGCAUCCGUGGUGCACCCCGUGCUGGUGGAUGGCUCAGGACGGUAAGCAUUCCUCUGCCCCGCAUGAUGACUGAGGGUGUCUUUAGGAUUUCUGAGACCCACAAGGAGCAGUUCUUCAGCAGGCCAUUAAGGGCAUGGCUGUGGUCUUUAAAGUCAUUGGCUCACCCACUGCCCAGCCUGUGGUGUCAAAUGUCCUGCCUCUUCAAAUGUGCUUGGAUCGAUGAUGAGUCCUCCAAAAAAACAUUCCUUGGAAAAGCUGAACAAAA